GUUAAGUGACUAAGCGUAUACGGUGGAUGCCUUGGCAGUUAGAGGCGAUGAAGGACGUGUAAGUCUGCGAAAAGCUGUGGUGAGCCGACAAAAUGCAUUUGAGCCACAGAUGUCCGAAUGGGGAAACCCACCUAUUUAUAGGUAUCGUUACAUGAAUAUAUAGUGUAACGAGGCGAACGAGGGGAACUGAAACAUCUAAGUACCCUUAGGAAAAGAAAUCAACCGAGAUUCCCCUAGUAGCGGCGAGCGAACGGGGAUUAGCCCUUAAGCAAUUAUGAACGUAGUGGAAGCCUCUGGGAAGUGGCGCGAUACAAGGUGAUAGCCCUGUACACGAAGUGUUUGUUUUUGUGAAAUCGAGUAGGUCGGGACACGUGCUAUCUUGACUGAAUAUGGGGGGACCAUCCUCCAAGGCUAAAUACUCCUAACUGACCGAUAGUGAACCAGUACCGUGAGGGAAAGGCGAAAAGAACCCCGGAGAGGGGAGUGAAAUAGAACCUAAAACCGUGUGCAUACAAGCAGUGGGAGCCGUAAGGUGACUGCGUACCUUUUGUAUAAUGGGUCAGCGACUUCGUCUCACGAGCAAGCUUAAGCCGUUAGGUGUAGGCGCAGCGAAAGCGAGUCUUAAUAGGGCGACUGAGUUCGUGGGAUGAGACCCGAAGCCGAGUGAUCUAGCCAUGGGCAGGAUGAAGGUGCGGUAACACGCACUGGAGGACCGAACCCAC
rnacentral:rRNA from 1 species